UCUGCCUGGUAGUGGGGGAUAACGUCCGGAAACGGGCGCUAAUACCGCAUACGUCCUGAGGGAGAAAGUUUCGACGCUAUCAGAUGAGCCUAGGUCGGAUUAGCUAGUUGGUGGGGUAAAGGCCUACCAAGGCGACGAUCCGUAACUGGUCUGAGAGGAUGAUCAGUCACACUGGAACUGAGACACGGUCCAGACUCCUACGGGAGGCAGCAGUGGGGAAUAUUGGACAAUGGGCGAAAGCCUGAUCCAGCCUGCCGCGUGUGUGAAGAAGGUCUUCGAUUGUAAAGCACUUUAAGUUGGGAGGA
rnacentral:rRNA from 1 species